UACGAAGGGGGCUAGCGUUGCUCGGAAUUACUGGGCGUAAAGCGCACGUAGGCGGCUUUCUAAGUCGGGGGUGAAAUCCUGGAGCUCAACUCCAGAACUGCCUUCGAUACUGGAGAGCUCGAGUCCGGGGAGAGGUGAGUGGAACUGCGAGUGUAGAGGUGAAAUUCGUAGAUAUUCGCAAGAACACCAGUGGCGAAGGCGGCUCACUGGCCCGGUACUGACGCUGAUGUGCGAAAGCGUGGGGAGCAAACAGG
rnacentral:rRNA from 1 species